CCUACGGGAGGCAGCAGUGAGGAAUAUUGGUCAAUGGACGCAAGUCUGAACCAGCCAUGCCGCGUGCAGGAAGACGGCUCUAUGAGUUGUAAACUGCUUUUGUACGAGGGUAAAAGGAGACACGCGUAUCUGUCUGCAAGUAUCUUACGAAUAAGGAUCGGCUAACUCCGUGCCAGCAGCCGCGGUAAUACGGAGGAUUCAAGCGUUAUCCGGAUUUAUUGGGUUUAAAGGGUGCGUAGGCGGUCGGAUAAGUUAGAGGUGAAAGCCCGAGGCUCAACCUCGGAAUUGCGUCUGAUACUGGUCGGCUAGAGAGUAGUUGCGGUAGGCGGAAUGUAUGGUGUAGCGGUGAAAUGCGUAGAUAUAAGGAAGAACACCGGUGGCGAAGGCGGAUGACUGGACGGCAACUGACAGUGAGGCGCGAAAGCGUGGGGAGCAAACAGGAUUUGAUACCCUUGUAGUC
rnacentral:rRNA from 1 species